GUUCACCCCAGCCUGACGUCUGUCCUGUCCUGCCCGGGGAGUGCAGCAGGGCCAGUCCCCCUCCCCCAGGCCUGUAAAUGGAGCUUCUGAGGACGGAGAUGAUGGAGGCCGAGGGAGAGGAGAGACUUCUGAUUUCGCAGAAUCAGAAGAGCAGCUGUGUGUGAACGAGAAAGGACAUUUAAGCGGGGCUCCUCCCUCACUCCACGGUGGAUGUGGGUCAGAAAGUUCUGGGUGGCCCCAAGCAGCAUCACACUGCUCCACCCACACGUUCGCUGGCCUGUGAGCUCUCUCUCCAACUAGGUCAGGACGCUUGGAAAUGCCACACACAGCGGGGUGACUCCUGGUUCCCAUCUACCACAUGAACUUGGAGCACACGGCAGCCACUUUGUCCAUAUCCAUCUUUAACAUGCCCCGCGCCAGACUGCAGAACGAUCCCCAAGGAGUGGACGCGAACG